rnacentral:misc_RNA from 1 species
AAAACCAUGCAAAAGCUCAUCCAGAGGAAAACCAUACAAUGCAUAGUCAAUUACUUAGUCCAGAUAAUGAAAUAGUCACAUCCAUCAGUUGACAUACAUUUAAUGGUUAAUGAUCACACACGGAAAGCUUUUUCUUUCUUUUUAUUUUUAUUAUUUUCGCAUUUUUACAAGAGAGAAAUAGAUCAACUUGAUUCAGGAGGCUUUUCUUUUGGAUGUUUGGAGGCAUAAUGAUCACCAAGCUGAUUAC